rnacentral:tRNA from 1 species
UAUAAAGGUGGCAGAGUAAGUGCAUUAGAUUUAAGCUCUAAAUAUGAGGAUGAAAUUUCCUUUCUUUAUAA